AGAGUUUGAUCAUGGCUCAGAUUGAACGCUGGCGGCAGGCCUAACACAUGCAAGUCGAGCGGUAGCACAGAGAGCUUGCUCUCGGGUGACGAGCGGCGGACGGGUGAGUAAUGUCUGGGAAACUGCCUGAUGGAGGGGGAUAACUACUGGAAACGGUAGCUAAUACCGCAUAACGUCGUAAGACCAAAGUGGGGGACCUUCGGGCCUCAUGCCAUCAGAUGUGCCCAGAUGGGAUUAGCUAGUAGGUGGGGUAACGGCUCACCUAGGCGACGAUCCCUAGCUGGUCUGAGAGGAUGACCAGCCACACUGGAACUGAGACACGGUCCAGACUCCUACGGGAGGCAGCAGUGGGGAAUAUUGCACAAUGGGCGCAAGCCUGAUGCAGCCAUGCCGCGUGUGUGAAGAAGGCCUUCGGGUUGUAAAGCACUUUCAGCGGGGAGGAAGGCGGUGAGGUUAAUAACCUCAUCGAUUGACGUUACCCGCAGAAGAAGCACCGGCUAACUCCGUGCCAGCAGCCGCGGUAAUACGGAGGGUGCAAGCGUUAAUCGGAAUUACUGGGCGUAAAGCGCACGCAGGCGGUCUGUCAAGUCGGAUGUGAAAUCCCCGGGCUCAACCUGGGAACUGCAUUCGAAACUGGCAGGCUAGAGUCUUGUAGAGGGGGGUAGAAUUCCAGGUGUAGCGGUGAAAUGCGUAGAGAUCUGGAGGAAUACCGGUGGCGAAGGCGGCCCCCUGGACAAAGACUGACGCUCAGGUGCGAAAGCGUGGGGAGCAAACAGGAUUAGAUACCCUGGUAGUCCACGCCGUAAACGAUGUCGAUUUGGAGGUUGUGCCCUUGAGGCGUGGCUUCCGGAGCUAACGCGUUAAAUCGACCGCCUGGGGAGUACGGCCGCAAGGUUAAAACUCAAAUGAAUUGACGGGGGCCCGCACAAGCGGUGGAGCAUGUGGUUUAAUUCGAUGCAACGCGAAGAACCUUACCUGGUCUUGACAUCCACAGAACUUAGCAGAGAUGCUUUGGUGCCUUCGGGAACUGUGAGACAGGUGCUGCAUGGCUGUCGUCAGCUCGUGUUGUGAAAUGUUGGGUUAAGUCCCGCAACGAGCGCAACCCUUAUCCUUUGUUGCCAGCGGUUAGGCCGGGAACUCAAAGGAGACUGCCAGUGAUAAACUGGAGGAAGGUGGGGAUGACGUCAAGUCAUCAUGGCCCUUACGACCAGGGCUACACACGUGCUACAAUGGCAUAUACAAAGAGAAGCGACCUCGCGAGAGCAAGCGGACCUCAUAAAGUAUGUCGUAGUCCGGAUUGGAGUCUGCAACUCGACUCCAUGAAGUCGGAAUCGCUAGUAAUCGUAGAUCAGAAUGCUACGGUGAAUACGUUCCCGGGCCUUGUACACACCGCCCGUCACACCAUGGGAGUGGGUUGCAAAAGAAGUAGGUAGCUUAACCUUCGGGAGGGCGCUUACCACUUUGUGAUUCAUGACUGGGGUGAAGUCGUAACAAGGUAACCGUAGGGGAACCUGCGGUUGGAUCACCU
rnacentral:rRNA from 1 species